CUUUAUGACAUGUGACCAGCUGCCUCAUGCUCCUGCUGACCUGCUUUUCCUACCACAGUGGGCUCUAUACUGUUGAACUAUAAAGCAAAAUCAACCCUUUCUCCCAAAAACAAACCCACAAAACCCCACUCAGGAUUAUUCUUCCAGUGUUUGAAAAUCCUUACUGAUUGAGCAAAGAAUCCACUCAUGUCAUUGUCCAACAGCUCAAGUUCUGACUCACAGUCUUGUUUCACUUUUGCCUUGUCCAUUUACAUAAACUGUGUUGUCACCAAGGACUCACAUUGAAGCUACGCCCAGGUCCCCUAUGACUAUAGACUGAGUGCAGAGGAAGGAUGCAGCAAAAAUGAACCAGAGCACUGUCAUGACCCCAGCUGUGUAGACUGUCCUAUAUGCACCGCACACCGCUAUCAGGUAUACAUACCCUUUGCAUUUAUAAGAAAGGUUGCUCUCACAUCUGUGAGGCUGAGGUAGGCUGAUAGACACACCUGAGGCUUCCAUCAACCCAUGAUGGAGUCAGAGUCCACUAGUGAAGGAGCUGUUUGACCCGCAAGGAAAAGGUGUGGCUUGGUACAACUCAGUCAGGGCAGGAGACUGUGGGAAAUGUGUCCUCAGAACACAGAAUAAGUUUUCAGUAAGAGGUUUUAGUCAACCAUAUUCCUUAUAUGUAUUAUUUAUUUUUUGAGAUUGUUUUCUAAAGAUUUAAUUAUUCAAUUAUAUUUAUUAUUUUAAGUGUAUGAGUGUUUUGCCUGCAUAUAUGUAUGUAUGUACAUCAUGUGAAGGCCUGGUACCUGGAAAGGUCAGAAAAGAACAUCGGAUCCCCUAUAGCUGGAGUUACGGUUUUAAGCUACUAUGUGGGUGCUUGGAAUUGAACCUGGGGCCUCUUCAAGAGCAAUGAGUGCUCUUAACCACUGAGCCAACUCUCUGGCCCUGAGAAUUUCAAGUGUUGUAUUUUGGUUACAUGCCCUUCCCCUUCCCAGCUCCUCUCAGAUCCAGUCCCCGUCCAUACCUAGCCAACUUUGUGUGCUUCUCUUUGUUCUGUUUAUAAGCUCAUCCAUUCCAAUUACUGCUGGCUAUAGAUUUUUGGGUGUGUGGCCAUUCACUAGCCCGUGUUCAACAGAGACCAAUGUCUUUGAAGAAAAUGGAGUCUCCUUUGCUCAGCAGAUAUCAAUUACCAAUAGUUCCUCAGCUAGGGAUGGGACUUCACGCCUAUCUCUUCCCUCUAUGAGGGCAUCUUGUCUGGCUUGAGCUUGCAUAGGUCUUGUGGGUGCUAUCACAGUUGUGGAAAAUUCAUGUGUGCGACCACCCUGUUGUGUCUGGAAAAUGUGCUUCACUGUAUCUGCUGCCUCUGGCUCUUACAAUCUAUGUACCUCCUCUUACACGAUGACCCCUGAAUCUUGUCUAGAAAAGGGUGUGACACAUAUGCCACUCUGCCACCCGUGAUACUUGAACUAAGUUUUCUUCAAGACAUAUUCCAAUGGCCUUCAUACCAGCACUGAAAAUGAUACUGAGGGGAGCCUGCCCUGUGGAUUUCUGUGGGUUUUCUCCGUGUAGCCCUACCUGUCCUGGAACAAGUUCUGUAGGCAGGCUGGCCUAGAACUCACAGAGAUCUGCCUGCCUCUGCCUCCUGAGUGCUGGGAACAAAAGAUGUGCACCACCACCACCACCACCACCACCACCACCGGGCUGGCACACUCUGAAGGACAGUUCUCUGUGGCCGAGGACAAUUCCUAUUUUAAAGAUGAUGAUGUGAGCUGGGUACCAGUCGCAGAAGGGAGAUGCAGAUCAGAAGAAUGUGUAAGAGAGGACCAAAACAUCUGAGGCAGAUGAGGAGGUACAGGAAACGCUUGCUACACUGUCACUGGAUGCAUGAGAUACAGGGAGAGCUACAGUCCAGCCAGGAAGAUGACCAAUAACAUGCUCGCCUGGACUUUAGAUUUGGAUUUGGUGGAGAGCUGAUCCCACGUUUUAGAAGCAUUGUCACAACUUCAUCUACCUGAUGGAUUCUUACUGCAUGUGAGUAUCAAGGAAUGGAGAACACUGAGCGGGGAGACUCAGGGGAUCCCUAAAGAAAUCAAAACAAGUCGUCUUUGGAACAAUCUACUUCACUCUAAAUUCCUUUGGAUUCCUGCAAUUGAACUGAGUCUAGCAUAAAGUUAUGGCCAAGUGCAAAGCAGAUGUAAGUGAGAGUCAAGGGGCAGCAAGAAGCAAGAUGAUGCCUAAGAAGUCAGGUGCUGGAGUUCCCAUAAGAAUUUGUAGGAGAUAACAUACAGCAGGAAAUGGCGUUUUCAGAGGGAACCAAUCAUGUUAUGCCCACCACUCUCCUGUGUACCUUCAAUUCACUCUCGACUGUGCUAGAGUCUGGCUUCUAUCAAUACUGUGCUGAGGACAUAUUCAUUGCCAAGAUUAUCAGAGUUCAUCUAGCCAUCCUCACCUACCAGGUCCUCCAAACACUGUCUUUUUUCAUGUACUUGCCUACAAGCACUGCAUCUCAAACAGCCUGUGUAAAACGGAACUCUCAUCUGCAACUCCUACCACUUCCCAUAACUUGUUCCUUCCUGCCUUUCAUCACUUAAGCCUAAAGUUCUUGAGAGAGCUUGACUUCAGGUAGAAUAUAACUUAGUUAACACUUCUUCGAACUCUGAGGGUGUACAAUGAUGAGGUUUUGGGGAGUUUUAGAAAAUACACCUUAAGGGCUGGAGAGAUGGCUCAGCGGCUAAGAGCACCCGACUACUCUUCCAGAGGUC
rnacentral:sRNA from 1 species